AGUGAACGCUGGCGGUAGGCCUAACGCGUGCAAGUCGAACGGCAGCACAGUAAGAGCUUGCUCUUACGGGUGGCGAGUGGCGGACGGGUGAGGAAUACAUCUGAAUCUACUUUUUCGUGGGGGAUAACGUAGGGAAACUUACGCUAAUACCGCAUACGACCUACGGGUGAAAGCAGGGGAUCUUCGGACCUUGCGCGAUUGAAUGAGCCGAUGUCGGAUUAGCUAGUUGGCGGGGUAAAGGCCCACCAAGGCGACGAUCCGUAGCUGGUCUGAGAGGAUGAUCAGCCACACUGGAACUGAGACACGGUCCAGACUCCUACGGGAGGCAGCAGUGGGGAAUAUUGGACAAUGGGCGCAAGCCUGAUCCAGCCAUACCGCGUGGGUGAAGAAGGCCUUCGGGUUGUAAAGCCCUUUUGUUGGGAAAGAAAAGCAGCAGGUUAAUACCCCGCUGUUCUGACGGUACCCAAAGAAUAAGCACCGGCUAACUUCGUG
rnacentral:rRNA from 1 species